rnacentral:rRNA from 1 species
AUUGAACGCUGGCGGCGGGCCUAACACAUGCAAGUCGAGCGGAGCGGCGGACGGGUGAGUAAUACCUAGGAAUCUGCCUGGUAGUGGGGGAUAACGUUCGGAAACGGAAGCUAAUACCGCAUACUAUCAGAUCAGCCUAGGGGGGAUUAGCUAGUUGGUGAGGUAAUGGCUAACCAAGGCUACGAUCCGUAACUGGUCUGAGAGGAUGAUCAGCCACACUGGAACUGAGACACGGCCCAGACGCCUACGGGAGGCAUCAGUGGGGAAUAUUGCACAAUGGGCGCAAGCCGGAUGCAGCCAUGCCGCGUGUAUGAAGAAGGCCCUAGGGUUGUAAAGUACUUUCAGUCGGGAGGCGUUACCGACAGAAGAAGCACCGGCUAACUCCGUGCCAGCAGCCGCGGUAAUUC